rnacentral:rRNA from 1 species
ACACCGGCGGCUCGAGUGGUAACCGUUAUUAUUGGGUCUAAAGGGUCUGUAGCCGGCCGGAUAAGUCUCUUGGGAAAUCUGGCAGCUCAACUGUCAGGCUUUCAGGAGAUACUGUCUGGCUCGAGGCCGGGAGAGGGGAGAGGGACUUCAGGGGUAGGGGUGAAAUCUUGUAAUCCUUGAAGGACCACCAGUGGCGAAGGCGUCUCACCAGGACGGACCUGACGGCAAGGGACGAAAGCUAGGGGCACGAACCGGAUUAGAUACCCGGGUAGUCCUAGCCGUAAACGAUACUCGCUAGGUGUCGGCCACGGUGCGACCGUGGUCGGUGCCGUAGGGAAGCCGUGAAGCGAGCCACCUGGGAAGUACGGCCGCAAGGCUGAAACUCAAAGGAAUUGGCGGGG